rnacentral:rRNA from 1 species
GAUGAACGCUGGCGGCGUGCCUAAUACAUGCAAGUCGAGCGAACAGACGAGGAUCUUGCUCCUCUGACGUUAGCGGCGGACGGGUGAGUAACACGUGGAUAACCUACCUAUAAGACUGGGAUAACUUCGGGAAACCGGAGCUAAUACCGGAUAAUAUAUUGAACCGCAUGGUUCAAUAGUGAAAGACGGUUUUGCUGUCACUUAUAGAUGGAUCCGCGCCGCAUUAGCUAGUUGGUAAGGUAACGGCUUACCAAGGCAACGAUGCGUAGCCGACCUGAGAGGAUGAUCGGCCCAACUGGAAGUGAGACACGGUCCAGACUCCUACGGGAGGCAGCAGUAGGGAAUCUUCCGCAAUGGGCGAAAGCCUGACGGAGCACAGCCGCGUGAGUGAUGAAGGUCUUCGGAUCGUAAAACUCUGUUAUUAGGGAAGAACAAAUGUGUAAGUAACUAUGCACGUCUUGACGGUACCUAAUCAGAAAGCCACGGCUAACUACGUG